UACGUAGGUGGCAAGCGUUGUCCGGAAUUAUUGGUCGUAAAGCGCGCGCAGGUGGUUUCUUAAGUCUGAUGUGAAAGCCCACGGCUCAACCGUGGAGGGUCAUUGGAAACUGGGGAACUUGAGUGCAGAAGAGGAAAGUGGAAUUCCAAGUGUAGCGGUGAAAUGCGUAGAGAUUUGGAGGAACACCAGUGGCGAAGGCGACUUUCUGGUCUGUAACUGACACUGAGGCGCGAAAGCGUGGGGAGCAAACAGG
rnacentral:rRNA from 1 species